rnacentral:rRNA from 1 species
GUUUUGAUUUAAAGUCUGGCCUGCCCAAUGAUUUUUGAAUGGCCGCAGUAUUUUGACUGUGCAAAGGUAGCAUAAUCAUUAGUUUUUUGAUUGAAAGCUGGUAUGAAAGGUUUGAUGAGAAAAUAACUGUCUCUGUAUAAUUGUUUUAGAAUUUCAAUUUUGAGUGAGAAAGCUCAAAUUUUUUAUAAAGACGAGAAGACCCUAUAGAGUUUUAUAAAUAAUUAUAUGUUGGAGUUGUGGAUAUUAUUUGUCGAUUUAUAUUUAUUUAUUUUGUUGGGGCGAUAGGAAAAUUUAUUAAACUUUUUUUUGUUUUUUACAUUUAUUUAUGAUUGUUUGAUCCUUAUUUUUGGAUUAUAAGAUCAAAUUACCUUAGGGAUAACAGCGUAAUUUUUUUUGGAGAGUUCUUAUCGAUAAAAAAGUUUGCGACCUCGAUGUUGGAUUAAAAUUAAAUUCUGGUGUAGGGGCUAGGAUUUUGGGUCUGUUCGACCUUUAAAAUUUUACGUGAUCUGAGUCAGACCGG